rnacentral:rRNA from 1 species
UGAGGAAUAUUGGUCAAUGGACGCAAGUCUGAACCAGCCAUGCCGCGUGAAGGAUGAAGGCCUUCUGGGUUGUAAACUUCUUUUAUUGGGGAAGAAAAUUAUGGUUUCUACUAUAACCGACGGUACCCAAGGAAUCAGCACCGGCUAACUCCGUGCCAGCAGCCGCGGUAAUACGGAGGGUGCAAGCGUUAUCCGGAUUCACUGGGUUUAAAGGGUGUGUAGGCGGGCUAUUAAGUCAGUGGUGAAAUCUCCGGGCUCAACCCGGAAACUGCCAUUGAUACUAUUAGUCUUGAAUAUCGUUGAGGUUGGCGGAAUAUAUCAUGUAGCGGUGAAAUGCAUAGAUAUGAUAUAGAACACCGAUUGCGAAGGCAGCUAACUAAGCGAUGAUUGACGCUGAGGCACGAAAGCGUGGGGAUCAAACAGGAUUAGAUACCCCCGUAGUCC